rnacentral:rRNA from 1 species
GACGAACGCUGGCGGCGCGCCUAACACAUGCAAGUCGAACGGAGCUGAGAGGAGCUUGCUUUUCUUAGCUUAGUGGCGAACGGGUGAGUAACGCGUGAGUAACCUGCCCUGGAGUGGGGGACAACAGUUGGAAACGACUGCUAAUACCGCAUAAGCCCACGGUACCGCAUGGUACUGAGGGAAAAGGAUUUAUUCGCUUCAGGAUGGACUCGCGUCCAAUUAGCUAGUUGGUGAGGUAACGGCCCACCAAGGCGACGAUUGGUAGCCGGACUGAGAGGUUGAACGGCCACAUUGGGACUGAGACACGGCCCAGACUCCUACGGGAGGCAGCAGUGGGGGAUAUUGCACAAUGGGGGAAACCCUGAUGCAGCGACGCCGCGUGGAGGAAGAAGGUUUUCGGAUUGUAAACUCCUGUCGUUAGGGACGAUAAUGACGGUACCUAACAAGAAAGCACCGGCUAACUACGUGCCAGCAGCCGCGGUAAAACGUAGGGUGCAAGCGUUGUCCGGAAUUACUGGGUGUAAAGGGAGCGCAGGCGGACCGGCAAGUUGGAAGUGAAAUCCAUGGGCUCAACCCGUGAAUUGCUUUCAAAACUGCUGGCCUUGAGUAGUGCAGAGGUAGGUGGAAUUCCCGGUGUAGCGGUGGAAUGCGUAGAUAUCGGGAGGAACACCAGUGGCGAAGGCGACCUACUGGGCACCAACUGACGCUGAGGCUCGAAAGCAUGGGUAGCAAACAGGAUUAGAUACCCUGGUAGUCCAUGCCGUAAACGAUGAAAAAAGGGGUUGGAGGAUUGACCCCUUCAGUGCCGCAGUUAACACAAUAAGUAAUCCACCUGGGGAGUACGACCGCAAGGUUGAAACUCAAAGGAAUUGACGGGGGCCCGCACAAGCAGUGGAGUAUGUGGUUUAAUUUGAAGCAACGCGAAGAACCUUACCAGGUCUUGACAUCCGAUGCAUAGUGCAGAGAUGCAUGAAGUCCUUCGGGACAUCGAGACAGGUGGUGCAUGGUUGUCGUCAGCUCGUGUCGUGAGAUGUUGGGUUAAGUCCCGCAACGAGCGCAACCCUUAUUGCCAGUUACUACGCAAGAGGACUCUGGCGAGACUGCCGUUGACAAAACGGAGGAAGGUGGGGAGGACGUCAAAUCAUCAUGCCCUUUAUGACCUGGGCUACACACGUACUACAAUGGCGUUUAACAAAGAGAAGCAAGACCGCGAGGUGGAGCAAAACUCAGAAACAACGUCUCAGUUCAGAUUGCAGGCUGCAACUCGCCUGCAUGAAGUCGGAAUUGCUAGUAAUCGCGGAUCAGCAUGCCGCGGUGAAUAAGUUCCCGGGCCUUGCAC